GCUGGUGUGGCGGAACUGGCAGACGCGCGGGACUUAAAAUCCCGUUCGACUUAUAAUCGAGUACCGGUUCGAUCCCGGUUGCCGGCA
rnacentral:tRNA from 1 species